rnacentral:lncRNA from 1 species
UUUGACAUUAGGGAACUGAUUUCAAAUAUAAAAUGUAGAUUUGAUAUUAGUGGAACUGAUUUCAAAUAUAAAAUGUAGAUUUGACAUUAGUGGAACUGAUUUCAAAUAUAAAAUACAAAAUGGAAUUUUCAGAUAUAAGAAAGUUUCCGGAUUUAGUAAGAAACAAUGAUAAGAGUGUAAGGGGAUAUGGUAUUAACAGACAACGAAAUCAACAAGCUUUCCGACCCACACCCAGUUCAUCUAGAGUUUUAAAAAAGAAAGAAAAACUGUUUACUUCGAAAGUAGAAUUGAACUACAAGUACUUGUUAAUGGAUGGAAAUAUUUUAAAAUCGACUGAAAAGAAAAACGGUAUGUUUCCGUUGCAUCGCAGCCUAGACGUUCAAUAUAGAAGGCUUAAAAAACAACAUUCCUUAUUCGGAAAUGUAAAACAUAAUCAUACUGAACAUAAAACAGUAAAAUCGGGAGUGAAACAGAGUGACAAACUAGUUCAUCAUAGGAGUGCACCACGAAAUAGGAGUAACCAUUAUAAUGAAGAAGAAAGAAUUAGCCCAAGC